GGGAUCUGCCAAACUAAAGAACGAGAAGGGAUCUACCGAAAAAAAGAACAAAAAACCCUUGUCCCUAGAUCUCACGAUCUCUGUUCGUUUCUCCACUAUCAACGGCCUUUCUCGACGAUGACCGUUCAACUGAAAAGCGGAGCGAAAAAUCCUUCCCUCUCUCAACGGCCAUUCAACCGAUGACGAUGACGUCUCUCCCGAACUGAUUUAAUGGAAAUGUGACAAGAAGUAUGUUGUGAAAGUAGAAACCAGUCAUCAAGAAGUAAUGGCAUAGUAAGGCAGCCGCGGAUGAUGAAGCUUUAAGACAAGAAGUUUCGAAUCCAUCUACUCCUAAAAUUGAGUUAGAAGAUGCAGCUGUGAAGAAUAGUUUUCCAGGCUCCCGGUUAGAAUUGAGCAAUGAUAGGGACAGAGUUGUAGAGGCAAGAGAUGAGUUGCAUAGGAUGUUGAAUGAGGCCACAGCAGUAAUGGACUGACCGGAAAUUUCAUGGGAUGAUAUUACAUAUAAAGGAGCAUGUUGCAGCGGUAAUUCCACAUCUUGUCAUAUCAGCUUGUAUUAAAUGUAUAAACAGAUGGUUGAUUUUGAACUUUCCCCUUUAUUGUUCUUUCAAGCUCAUUUGGUACAGUGCAUCGUGCUGAAUGGCAUGGAUCGGAAUAAAGGAAAAUAAAGUAUAACAAAACUUGUAACCUUUGCAAGCAAGCUUAUAUGAAGAACUAGACUACAAUGGGAGGUUUUUUGUGUCCCUUCUCUUUCUUUUCCAUCCUUAGAACCAUGCUUAGAGUGCUUUGAGGACAAAGUAAGCUGUUAAGUGGGGGGUAAGGUUGUAGCCUUGCAUG